GAUGAACGCUAGCUACAGGCUUAACACAUGCGAGUCGCGGGGCAGCAUGGGGGUUGCUUGCAAUCCCCGAUGGCGACCGGCGCACGGGUGAGUAACGCGUAUCCAACCUGCCCUUCACCACGGGAUAACCCGGCGAAAGUCGGACUAAUACCGUAUGUUGUCCAUUGACGGCAUCCGAUUUGGACGAAAGGUUUGGCGGUGAAGGAUGGGGAUGCGUCCGAUUAGCUGGACGGCGGGGUGACGGCCCACCGUGGCGACGAUCGGUAGGGGUUCUGAGAGGAAGGUCCCCCACACUGGAACUGAGACACGGUCCAGACGCCUACGGGAGGCAGCAGUGAGGAAUAUUGGUCAAUGGGCGUAAGCCUGAACCAGCCAAGUAGCGUGCAGGAUGACGGCCCUAUGGGUUGUAAACUGCUUUUAUGCGGGGAUAAAGUGGCCCACGUGUGGGUUUUUGCAGGUACCGCAUGAAUAAGGACCGGCUAAUUCCGUG
rnacentral:rRNA from 1 species